rnacentral:rRNA from 1 species
GGAACGUACCCAAGAGUGGGGGAUAACGUAGCGAAAGUUACGCUAAUACCGCAUACGAUCCAAGGAUGAAAGCAGGGGAUCUUCGGACCUUGUGCUCCUGGAGCGUCCGAUAUCUGAUUAGCUAGUUGGUGAGGUAAAGGCUCACCAAGGCGACGAUCAGUAGCUGGUCUGAGAGGAUGAUCAGCCACACUGGGACUGAGACACGGCCCAGACUCCUACGGGAGGCAGCAGUGGGGAAUAUUGGACAAUGGGCGAAAGCCUGAUCCAGCAAUACCGCGUGUGUGAAGAAGGCCUUCGGGUUGUAAAGCACUUUAAGUUGGGAAGAAAAAACUUCAAUUAAUACUUGAAGUCUUGACGGUACCGACAGAAUAAGCACCGGCUAACUCUGUGCCAGCAGCCGCGGUAAUACAGAGGGUGCUAGCGUUAAUCGGAUUUACUGGGCGUAAAGCGUGCGUAGGCGGUUUGAUAAGUCGGUUGUGAAAGCCCCGGGCUCAACCUGGGAACUGCAUCCAAAACUGGCAAGCUAGAGUACGGUAGAGGGUGGUGGAAUUUCCUGUGUAGCGGUGAAAUGCGUAGAUAUAGGAAGGAACACCAGUGGCGAAGGCGACCACCUGGACUGAUACUGACACUGAUGUGCGAAAGC